rnacentral:lncRNA from 1 species
GGGGCCGACCCCUCGGCACCCGCCCCGCGACCCCCCGUCGUCCUUCGGCCCCCUGGGGCCGGGCUGAGGGUGGGCGCGGGCGGUCUUCCGGAAGCGGAGGCUUCCUCCGCCUGGCCUAGUUGUGGCCCGGAGGGAGGAAGAGCCGUGACGGGGUCGGGGGCGCUUUUCGAAGUUCCUGGUUAAGCCUGCGGGGGACGCGGGGCCCGGGCGCCAGGGCGGCGGGGCCGGGGCGGCCGCAGAGGGGCGCUGUGCGCGCGCGGGAGGCCGCGUCGGCCCCGCGGGGCGGGGGAGGGAAGUGAGCCACAGGCCUAGGUUCAGUUCAGAGUGUGUGGCCGCUGGGUUUCGGGCAGAGCGGAGUUCAGCCCGCUGGUCACUGACGGGAAGAAGCCGCACAACUCGAUCUAAAAUGGCAGCGAAGUGUCCCACGUGGAGCCGAGAAGGGGCGAGGCACAAGUGUGCGCCGGAGACGGUGGAACUGAUCGAAACCCAGCCUGAAGGUGACAAAAUUGAACAGCUCGACAAGGAAAGAUUAUCAACAAGUGGCUCCUGGGAAAUGCUGGCUUUAGAUGGUGAUUUACGGCUUAUUUCCUCCUCGUGAACAAGAGGAUUAGUUGCCAUGUUUGGAGGUCACACUCCCCAGUAGGUAGAAAUUCUCCUUCUCCUUCUCUUUCCUUUUCCUCUCCCUCCUCCUCCUUUUCUUCCCCC